AGUGAACGCUGGCGGCGUGCCUAAUACAUGCAAGUCGAACGGACAAGUAAGAGCUUGCUCUUAUGAGUUAGUGGCGCACGGGUGAGUAAUGUAUAGCUAAUCUGCCCUACACUAGAGGACAACAGUUGGAAACGACUGCUAAUACUCUAUACUCCUCUCUAGCAUAAGUUAGAUAGGGAAAGUUUUUCGGUGUAGGAUGAGGCUAUAUUGUAUCAGCUAGUUGGUGAGGUAAUGGCUCACCAAGGCUAUGACGCAUAACUGGUCUGAGAGGAUGAUCAGUCACACUGGAACUGAGACACGGUCCAGACUCCUACGGGAGGCAGCAGUAGGGAAUAUUGCUCAAUGGGGGAAACCCUGAAGCAGCAACGCCGCGUGGAGGAUGACACUUUUCGGAGCGUAAACUCCUU
rnacentral:rRNA from 1 species